UACGAGGGGGGCAAGCGUUGUUCGGAAUUAUUGGGCGUAAAGGGUGCGUAGGCGGUCUGAACAAGUCUGAUGUGAAAUCUAUGGGCUCAACCCAUAGUUCUGCAUCGGAAACUGUCGGGCUUGAGUAUGGGAGAGGUGAGUGGAAAUUUCGGUGUAGCGGUGAAAUGCGUAGAUAUCGGGAGGAACACCUGUGGCGAAAGCGGCUCACUGGACCACA
rnacentral:rRNA from 1 species